rnacentral:rRNA from 1 species
GACGAACGCUGGCGGCGUGCUUAACACAUGCAAGUCGAACGGAAAGGCCCUGCUUUUGUGGGGUGCUCGAGUGGCGAACGGGUGAGUAACACGUGAGUAACCUGCCCUUGACUUUGGGAUAACUUCAGGAAACUGGGGCUAAUACAGGAUAGGAGCUCCUGCUGCAUGGUGGGGGUUGGAAAGUUUCGGCGGUUGGGGAUGGACUCGCGGCUUAUCAGCUUGUUGGUGGGGUAGUGGCUUACCAAGGCUUUGGCGGGUAGCCGGCCUGAGAGGGUGACCGGCCACAUUGGGACUGAGAUACGGCCCAGACUCCUACGGUAGGCAGCAGUGGGGAAUAUUGCACAAUGGGCGGAAGCCUGAUGCAGCAACGCCGCGUGCGGGAUGACGGCCUUCGGGUUGUAAACCGCUUUCGCCUGUGACGAAGCGGGAGUGACGGUAAUGGGUAAAGAAGCACCGGCUAACUACGUG